rnacentral:rRNA from 1 species
UAUCGGAUUAUUGGGCGUAAGAGCUCGUAGGCGGUUUGUCGCGUCUGCCGUGAAAGUCCGGGGCUCAACUCCGGAUCUGCGGUGGGUACGGGCAGACUAGAGUGAUGUAGGGGAGACUGGAAUUCCUGGUGUAGCGGUGAAAUGCGCAGAUAUCAGGAGGAACACCGAUGGCGAAGGCAGGUCUCUGGGCAUUAACUGACGCUGAGGAGCGAAAGCAUGGGGAGCGAACAGGAUUAGAUACCCUGGUAGUCCAUGCCGUAAACGUUGGGCACUAGGUGUGGGGGACAUUCCACGUUUUCCGCGCCGUAGCUAACGCAUUAAGUGCCCCGCCUGGGGAGUACGGCCGCAAGGCUAAAACUCAAAGGAAUUGACGGGGGCCCGCACAAGCGGCGGAGCAUGCGGAUUAAUUCGAUGCAACGCGAAGAACCUUACCAAGGCUUGACAUGGACCGGACCGCCGCAGAAAUGUGGUUUCCCCUUUGGGGCCGGUUCACAGGUGGUGCAUGGUUGUCGUCAGCUCGUGUCGUGAGAUGUUGGGUUAAGUCCCGCAACGAGCGCAACCCUCGUUCUAUGUUGCCAGCGCGUGAUGGCGGGGACUCAUAGGAGACUGCCGGGGUCAACUCGGAGGAAGGUGGGGACGACGUCAAAUCAUCAUGCCCCUUAU